GAUCUUUGUAGGCCCAAACAGGCCUGAAAAUUAGCCUGAGACAGGCUGUGACAGUGAUUUAGGCCAGCAGGAGAAGGGGAAACCUUUGCAGCACCCUCCCAGGGGCCCUUAGGAAGCGCCCCCCGAAGGGGCUACAGUCAUCAGCCUCACCGCUUCAACUUCCGCAGUUCAUCUGAAUAACACGAGGAAGACUUUAAAGCAGGUUGGAGAGGAUGCUUAGGAGCGAUUAUGUCUACCACUCUGAACCUGCUGCUGUAUUGUUGCAUUAUUUUAUUAUUGGUUGGUUGUCAGUCACCUAAGGAGUUGAAUAAGCUUGAAAAGUGGGCUAUACAUUUUGGUUGGAUGGAUGAAUUGAAUGCAUUAUGAAGCUGUUCAGUGAAUUAAACCACUCGGCAUGUCUAAGAGAUUUGCAAGUAUUAUUUCCUACCCUGCGGAGGCACAGAAAAUGUCAAUAGCAGAUGAAGUCCAUAACAGAAUUUGAUGGAGAACCAAAUUUCUGCCGUACGCAAGAAAUGUUCAUAAUAAGGAAAUAAUGUACUGUGGACCUGAUUGUAAGCAUUUGAGCUGGUGUUCCUGGCACAAUUACAUCACAUUUUGUGACAUUGUACUGUUACAGUACAAACUGUACCAUUUAGCAGAUUUUGGAACUGGACUACGCAAUAUGGAAAUAACUUGCUUAACUGCACUCUUUUCUAUGUACUUCUGGAGGGAGUUCCAAACUGUGGGCUGGUUUGGCUGAGAAGAUGCCACCCACAGGCAUCCUGCUCUCGAACGGAACCAGCCUCGAAUGGAACCGGGCCAGUUUGGUCCAGCCCUCCAUCGAACCGCCCCCCCCAGUCCAGUCCGGUCCUAGACCGGUCCGCGAAUUUUUUGUUUUUGUUAUUGUUUUUUAAAAUUAAAGUAGAUGAUAAGUACCUUU